ACUCCUACGGGAGGCAGCAGUAGGGAAUCUUCCACAAUGGGCGCAAGCCUGAUGGAGCAACACCGCGUGAGUGAAGAAGGGUUCGGCUCGUAAAGCUCUGUUGUUAAAGAAGAACACGUAUGAGAGUAACUGUUCAUACGUUGACGGUAUUUAACCAGAAAGUCACGGCUAACUACGUGCCAGCAGCCGCGGUAAUACGUAGGUGGCAAGCGUUAUCCGGAUUUAUUGGGCGUAAAGAGAGUGCAGGCGGUUUUCUAAGUCUGAUGUGAAAGCCUUCGGCUUAACCGGAGAAGUGCAUCGGAAACUGGAUAACUUGAGUGCAGAAGAGGGUAGUGGAACUCCAUGUGUAGCGGUGGAAUGCGUAGAUAUAUGGAAGAACACCAGUAGCGAAGGCGGCUACCUGGUCUGCAACUGACGCUGAGACUCGGAAGCAUGGGUAGCGAACAGGAUUAGAU
rnacentral:rRNA from 1 species